rnacentral:rRNA from 1 species
ACGAAGGGGGCUAGCGUUGUUCGGAAUUACUGGGCGUAAAGGGCGCGUAGGCGGCCUUGUUAGUCGAGUGUGAAAGCCCUGGGCUUAACCCGGGAAGCGCGCUUGAUACUGCAGGGCUUGAGUGUGGGAGAGGAUGAUGGAAUUCCCAGUGUAGAGGUGAAAUUCGUAGAUAUCAGGAAGAACACCCGUGGCGAAGGCGGCUCUCUGGGACGGUACUGACGCUGAGACGCGAAAGCGUGGGGAGCGAACAGGA